rnacentral:lncRNA from 1 species
CAGUCCCCAACAGGAGCAAAUGCUCACAGAUAAAUAGCAGAAUAUACAUGUCUACCAUACCUGUAAGGUAUUCCAUGUCAUGGCAAUUGUCCCAGAUAUGGAAUACUUCUGAAGAAUUAGAAGGAAAAGAGAAAAGUAACUUCUUAAAUGGAUAGGGUCUUCGGCAUUGUACCAGUCAUUCAUUCUUCUGUUGGCCCGACGCCUGAUGAGGACUUCUAGAACACUAGCCACUUCUGACCACCGCUCAAAGUCAAGCAAGCAAGCAAGCAAGCAAGCAAGCAAGCAAGCAAGCAAGCAAGCAAGCAAGCAAGCAAUUUAAGACCAGAGAGGAAGGCAA